rnacentral:rRNA from 1 species
GAUGAACGCUGGCGGUAUGCUUAACACAUGCAAGUCGAACGGACUCUUCGGAGUUAGUGGCGGACGGGUGAGUAACGCGUGAGAAUCUGGCUUUGGGUUCGGGACAACCACUGGAAACGGUGGCUAAUACCGGAUGUGCCGAGAGGUAAAAGAGAAAUUGCCUGAAGAUGAGCUCGCGUCUGGUUAGCUAGUUGGUGAGGUAAAGGCUCACCAAGGCAGCGAUCAGUAGCUGGUCUGAGAGGAUGACCAGCCACACUGGGACUGAGACACGGCCCAGACUCCUACGGGAGGCAGCAGUGGGGAAUUUUCCGCAAUGGGCGAAAGCCUGACGGAGCAAUACCGCGUGAGGGAAGAAGGCUCUUGGGUUGUAAACCUCUUUUCUUAGGGAAGAACAAAAUGACGGUACCUAAGGAAUCAGCAUCGGCUAACUCCGUG